rnacentral:rRNA from 1 species
UUUAAAGAGAGUUUGAUCCUGGCUCAGGACGAACGCUGGCGGCGUGCCUAAUACAUGCAAGUCGAACGAACGGAGGAAGAGCUUGCUCUUCCAAAGUUAGUGGCGGACGGGUGAGUAACACGUGGGCAACCUGCCUGUAAGUUGGGGAUAACUCCGGGAAACCGGGGCUAAUACCGAAUGAUAGAAUGUGGCGCAUGCCACGCUUUUGAAAGAUGGUUUCGGCUAUCGCUUACAGAUGGGCCCGCGGUGCAUUAGCUAGUUGGUAGGGUAAUGGCCUACCAAGGCAACGAUGCAUAGCCGACCUGAGAGGGUGAUCGGCCACACUGGGACUGAGACACGGCCCAGACUCCUACGGGAGGCAGCAGUAGGGAAUCUUCCGCAAUGGACGAAAGUCUGACGGAGCAACGCCGCGUGUAUGAAGAAGGUUUUCG